rnacentral:rRNA from 1 species
UACGUAGGGGGCAAGCGUUGUCCGGAUUUAUUGGGCGUAAAGAGCUCGUAGGCGGCUUGUUGCGUCGGCUAUGAAACCCCGGGGCUCAACCCCGGGUCUGCAGUCGAUACGGGCAGGCUAGAGUCCGGCAGGGGAGACUGGAAUUCCUGGUGUAGCGGUGAAAUGCGCAGAUAUCAGGAGGAACACCGGUGGCGAAGGCGGGUCUCUGGGCCGGAACUGACGCUAAGGAGCGAAAGCGUGGGGAGCGAACAGG